GAAUAGUAAAAUAUUAGUAAAGCAGAGAAUAUAAUAGCUAAAAUGUGUGCAUUGUAUUGGGGAUGUUCCAGUUCAAUGGAAUACUGGGGAGAGAAGAGGAAGAUUGCAGUGAUCUGAGGUGCUGAUGAGAAGUGAGGAAGUGGAUUUUCAAAGCCAUAAUGAUGAAGGUGGUUUGUUCUUUAUCCAAAGCACCCAUUGUUGGAUCAGAAGGGAAAUAUUUGUGGGAAACUGAAAGAAGAAAUGCUGGUCUGAAUUCAAGAGAGAGAUCAAUUCUGGAAGAAAGUUUCCUCAUGUCCCA
rnacentral:lncRNA from 1 species